rnacentral:rRNA from 1 species
AGAGUUUGAUCCUGGCUCAGAUUGAACGCUGGCGGCAUGCUUUACACAUGCAAGUCGAACGGUAACAGGUCUUCGGAUGCUGACGAGUGGCGAACGGGUGGGUAAUACAUCGGAACGUGCCUAGUAGUGGGGGAUAACUACUCGAAAGAGUAGCUAAUACCGCAUGAGAUCUACGGAUGAAAGCAGGGGACCUUCGGGCCUUGUGCUACUAGAGCGGCUGAUGGCAGAUUAGGUAGUUGGUGGGGUAAAGGCUUACCAAGCCUGCGAUCUGUAGCUGGUCUGAGAGGACGACCAGCCACACUGGGACUGAGACACGGCCCAGACUCCUACGGGAGGCAGCAGUGGGGAAUUUUGGACAAUGGGCGAAAGCCUGAUCCAGCAAUGCCGCGUGCAGGAUGAAGGCCCUCGGGU